rnacentral:rRNA from 1 species
GACGAACGCUGGCGGCGUGCUUAACACAUGCAAAUCGAACGGAAAGGCCCUGCUUUUGUGGGGUGCUCGAGUGGCGAACGGGUGAGUAACACGUGAGUAACCUGCCCUUGACUUUGGGAUAACUUCAGGAAACUGGGGCUAAUACCGGAUAGGAGCUCCCGUUGCAUGGUGGGGGUUGGAAAGUUUCGGCGGUUGGGGAUGGACUCGCGGCUUAUCAGCUUGUUGGUGGGGUAGUGGCUUACCAAGGCUUUGACGGGUAGCCGGCCCGAGAGGGGGAACGGCCACAUUGGGACUGAGGGACGGCCCAGACGCCUACGGGAGGCAGCAGUGGGGAAUAUUGCACAGUGGGCGGAAGCCUGAUGCAGCAGCGCCGCGUGCGGGAUGACGGCUUUCGGGUUGUAAACCGCUUUCGCCUGUGACGAAGCGUGAGUGACGGUAAUGGAUAAAGAAGCACCGGCUAACUACGUG